GACGAAGGUGGCGACCGUUGUUCGGAAUUACUGGGCAUAAAGCGCACGUAGGCGGCAAUGUAAGUCAGGUGUGAAAUCCCCCCGGCCCCAACCGGGGAAUUGCGCUUGAUACUGUGUUGCUUGAGGGCAGGAGGGGACCGUGGAAGUUCCUGGUGGAGCGGUGAAAUGCGUUGAUAUCAGGAGGAACACCGGCGGCGAAGGCGACGGUCUGGCCUGCUUCUGACGCCUGGACGGUGCGAAAGACCCAGGGGGAGCAAA
rnacentral:rRNA from 1 species